rnacentral:rRNA from 1 species
GUAAGGAAUAUUGGACAAUGGGGGAAACCCUGAUCCAGCCAUGCCGCGUGAGUGAAGAAGGCCUUCGGGUUGUAAAGCUCUUUCAGAUGUGAAGAUGAUGACGGUAACAUCAGAAGAAGCUCCGGCUAACUUCGUGCCAGCAGCCGCGGUAAUACGAAGGGAGCGAGCGUUGUUCGGAAUCACUGGGCGUAAAGAGUGCGUAGGCGGUUAUACAAGUCAGGAGUGAAAUCCCAGGGCUCAACCCUGGAAUUGCUUUUGAAACUGUAUAGCUAGAGUCCCGGAGGGGUUAAUGGAAUUCCGAGUGUAGAGGUGAAAUUCGCAGAUAUUCGGAGGAACACCAGUGGCGAAGGCGAUUAACUGGACGGGCACUGACGCUGAGGCACGAAAGCGUGGGGAUCAAACAGGAUUAGAUACCCGAGUAGUCC